AAACCACUGAAGUGUUUGCCAGCAAAGCGUAAUCCUUGACCGAUAAUCUUAAUUUAAGGGAGAUAUUUGCAAUAUUUUGUUGCGCAGGUCUGCACCCUAGGUGUUUCAGAAAGCCAUGAUAAAUAUUGGUAUUUCCCGCCUUGAACUUCACGGUUCAUGGUAUCCCUUUGUAGCGGCACUUUGGUAUUUUU
rnacentral:other from 1 species